GACGAACGCUGGCGGCGUGCUUAACACAUGCAAGUCGAACGCUGAAGACCUGGCUUUUGUUGGGUUGGAUGAGUGGCGAACGGGUGAGUAACACGUGAGUAACCUGCCCUCUUCUUUGGGAUAACGCCCGGAAACGGGUGCUAAUACUGGAUAUUCACUGAUCUUCGCAUGGGGGUUGGUGGAAAGGUUUGUUCUGGUGGGGGAUGGGCUCGCGGCCUAUCAGCUUGUUGGUGGGGUGAUGGCCUACCAAGGCUUUGACGGGUAGCCGGCCUGAGAGGGUGACCGGUCACAUUGGGACUGAGAUACGGCCCAGACUCCUACGGGAGGCAGCAGUGGGGAAUAUUGCACAAUGGGCGAAAGCCUGAUGCAGCGACGCCGCGUGAGGGAUGGAGGCCUUCGGGUUGUAAACCUCUUUCGCUCAUGGUCAAGCCGCAACUGUGGGUUGUGGUGAGGGUAGUGGGCAAAGAAGCGCCGGCUAACUACGUG
rnacentral:rRNA from 1 species